rnacentral:lncRNA from 1 species
CUUCCUCUGCGCGCUCUCCCUCGCUCCCGCUCCCCGCGCACGAGAAUACCCUAUCCACCAUAUUCGUUGUUCGAAACCCUAGCCAGGGACGAGAACCCCUUCCUCGUCCCGUCCACGCCAUAAUCAGGUAUUGUUUCUUAAUUUGAUUCUUUUUGUUGGCUUCUCCCUUUCUUCUUCUUUUGCUUGCCUUAGAUGCGAGAUCGCAGGUUGCUGUGGGAAUGAUUUGGGCUCUCUCAAGGAAAUCUAAACAUCUAAGAAUCUUUUUCGGGUUAUUUUACGUGAAUCGAUCUUGUAUUAAGAUUUUUUUUGUACGGAAUUAGUCUCAAGAUACGUAAACUUAACUGCAUUCUUUGAAUUCCAUUGCAUUUUACAUGAUGAACUUUUUGAACCAAAAAAAGGACGAUACAUUUUGUAUGGUGUGGCGCAUAAUCAAGAUUCUAGUAAGAGAAAUUGCAUAAUGAUAAUAUUUUCUUUUUUAGUGCACACUGUUAGUAACAUAACACAUAGCUUGAUUUUCAGGAAAAUAUUAGACAUAAUUUGAAGCUGCACCCCGAAGCCUUGGUUCUAUCAUUUUUUUGUUUUCUUGUCUGCUCUUAUUCCAUACUUGAAUAUGCCUGGAAUGUGAAUGUCUGUGAGGUAACUUUCCCAGUCAAUGCUCUUGGUAUCAAAGGCAAUCAAUUUUUUAUCCCUCUCCGCUAGCGAGGAUGUGAGUUUUUGCAUGUUAGUGUCAUCAAACCUGUGGGUGGAAUUAAAUGUAAAAUGUUAAAUUAGUGCAAUGUAAGUAGAUAGAGGUGCAGUACACUGAUGGUACGAGGGGUCUCUUACAUGGUAACUACAAUGCCGAUAACCAUCAAUAAGUUUACUUAGACAACUAUUUGUGCAACCAAACAAUUAUUGCCGCAACAACGUAGUUCUGAUUGCCGCAUAGCAUUAGCUUUUCUUAACAAAGAUACAGCAUGCGGUGAAAGAAGAAGAAGAAGAAGUUUAGAAGAUCAGAGGAGAAGAGUUGAAUUGUUCUGCCUCACCUUCCAUGGAAGAAAGUAUAGGGUUUGUAGCCUUUAACCACUCUUACUGUACGGUUGUAUUGUCUGCUGAGACGAUUGUAUUGACUCCGUGCAGAAGAAUGCAGUGCUCCUAAUACCCGCAGAACCUUAUCAGGAGAAAACAUUGCUUUGAGAAAAUAUCAGGUGCAUGUAAGAUACAUAGAUAUGCAACAUUGUUAGUUUUUGUACUACAGAGAGCUAAUACUUGUAGUUCGGAAUUUUUCUCAUUUAUGUCAAGCGCGAAUUCGUGCUUUUUCUGGCUGCACCAUUAAUCAUUUCUCUGAGUUGACUUUUGACUUUUGAGGCCUACUCUUAGUUUCUACUUGGUUUUGCUAACAAGUACUGCUACUUAUCAUUCAUGUUGCUUGAUUUGACUUGAGCUUACUCUUACUUUAGCCUUUUGCAUGGUUUGAUUUGAAUGACCUUGGUAGUCUCAGACUAGGGUUUUGGCCCAUUUGUUAGCUUGGGCUUGGAUCAGAGCUUUAGUUGUCAGCCCCAGCCAACAUCGUAUUGGCUAAUUGGCUUCGCUCUUGUGCCAGCCAUUUAGCUAUAUGCUAGUGCAUUUUGGGGUUGUCUUAUCACAAGGUGGAUAUACCGUGUAAAAAGCAGCAUAAACUAUUAAAUGUUACCAACCUGAAGAGGUAGUUUGUUUCGUACAACCAUAUAUAUGUAGAAGCCAGUCAUAGUUGUCACAAAGUACGGCUCUUUCACCUUGAUGAUUCUGCCAUCACUUCUGAUGCAGGGAUUCCUCAAGAAGUACCUAUAAGCCUCUUCAGCCAGUUUACCAAUUGUUAUUGGAUUCCUUGUUGAAGAGCCUAUCUGGUAGAUGAACACCGAUGAUUCUUUAUAGCUGCUGGCUAUGAUUGUG